rnacentral:tRNA from 1 species
GAUACUAAAAGAAAUAUAAAAUUACCUGACUCAUAAUCAGGUGGUCCCUGGUUCGAGCCCAGGUGGGACCA